rnacentral:rRNA from 1 species
UACGGGGGGGGCAAGCGUUGUUCGGAAUUACUGGGCGUAAAGGGCUCGUAGGCGGCCAACUAAGUCGGACGUGAGAUCCCUCGGCUUAACCGGGGAACUGCGUCCGAUACUGGAUGGCUAGAGUUCGGGAGAGGGAUGCGGAAUUCCAGGUGUAGCGGUGUAAUGCGUAGAUAUCUGGAGGAACACCGGUGGCGAAGGCGGCAUUCUGGACCGACACUGACGCUGAGGAGCGAAAGCCAGGGGAGCAAACGGG